UACGUAGGGUGCGAGCGUUAAUCGGAAUUACUGGGCGUAAAGCGUGCGCAGGCGGUUCGUUGUGUCGGCGGUGAAAGCCCCGGGCUUAACCGUGGGAAUGGCCGUUGAAACUGGCGAACUGGAGUGUGGCAGGAGGGGGGUGGAAUUCCGCGUGUAGCAGUGAAAUGCGUAGAGAUGCGGAGGAACACCGAUGGCGAAGGCAGCCCCCUGGGCUAACACUGACGCUCAGGCACGAAAGCGUGGGGAGCAAACAGG
rnacentral:rRNA from 1 species